rnacentral:lncRNA from 13 species
CUUCCUGUCCCAUUGUAAAGGCUGUGAUUUCCUGCCAGAGGGUAGCAGCUCGUAAAUUUGUGCUAGGUUGCAUAACGCAAUUAGCCUUUUUCUAGAUCUGUUGGUGCUCUUGGCAAGAUGCCACAAACAGAUCUGGGACCAGGCUGUAUUGCCACAAUAGCUAGCUAUUCCCAAAACCCACUACCUUUGGCUUGCACAGUACUGACCAUUUUCAGCCUUCUGGAAGAUAAUGUAUCUGUGCCACACAGUCUGGGAAUGAAGUGGAUGUUACUGUUCGUCCUCAUCUCACAGUACAGAGGUGUUCACUCACUCAGAUGUUACUGUUCGUCCUCAUCUCACAGUACAGAGGUGUUCACUCACUCAGAUGUUACUGUUCGUCCUCAUCUCACAGUACAGAGGUGUUCACUCAGACUCCAGAUGUUACUGUUCGUCCUCAUCUCACAGUACAGUGGUGUUCACUCACUCAGACUCCAGAUGUGGUCAGGAAUCAACCACCAGAUGACUUUCUCCUUCCUUUCCCCUCCUCCAUUUGACAUCAAAUCUGUGUUGUUUUCUCUCUCUAUCAAAAGUCACCCCCCCAUGACCCUGACUGACCUGAAUGAACUCCUCCUCGUCCACACCACAUGGUUGACUCGUCAUUGUCUGAGUGGAUCUGCUAGCUGCUAUUAUAUUUUAUAUAUAUAUAUACACACACUGCUCAAAAAAAUAAAGGGAACACUAAAAUAACACAUCCUAGAUCUGAAUGAAUGAAAUAUUCUUAUGAAAUACUUUUUUCUUUACAUAGUUGAAUGUGCUGAUAACAAAAUCACACAAAAAUGAUCAAUGGAAAUCUAAUUUAUCAACCCAUGGAGGUCUGGAUUUGGAGUCACACUCAAAAUUAAAGUGGAAAACCACACUACAGGCUGAUCCAACUUUGAUGUAAUGUCCUUAAAACAAGUCAAACUACUGCUGGUGGAUGGAGCGAGACAUGAUGUCCCAGAUGUGCUCAAUUGGAUUCAGGUCUGGGGAACGGGCGGGCCAGUCCAUAGCAUCAAUGCCUUCCUCUUGCAGGAACUGCUGACACACUCCAGCCACAUGAGGUCUAGCAUUGUUUUGCAUUAGGAGGAACCCAGGGCCAAACACACCAGCAUAUGGUCUCACAAGGGGUCUGAGGAUCUCAUCUCGGUACCUAAUGGCAGUCAGGUUACCUCUGGCGAGCACAUGGAGGGCUGUGCGGCCCCCCAAAGAAAUGCCACCCCACACCAUGACUGAUCCACCGCCAAACCGGUCAUGCUGGAGGAUGUUGCAGGCAGCAGAACGUUCUCCACGGCGUCUACCGACUAUCACAUCUGUUACAUGUGCUCAGUGUGAACCUGCUUUCAUCUGUGAAGAGCACAGGGCGCCAGUGGCGAAUUUGCCAAACUUGGUGUUUUCUGGCAAAUGCCAAAUGUCCUGCACGGUGUUGGGCUGUAAGCACAACCCCCACCUGUGGACGUCGGUGACUGG